UAGUUUAUUAUUAUAUUUCGGCCACCUUUCCUAAUUUAUAUCUAAAUUAUUGCUACUUCCAUACACCUUAAACUGCUGUAAAAAAUCCAAACCGCGAUAGUUUAUACCACUAAAAAGCAAAAUGUUUCCGUUAUUCAUUGUAGUGGCAUAUUUCUUUUUCUCACUGAUGGCAAUGAUCGUAUUGUUUUUAAUAAAACUCGAAGAUGGACUAUUUCUUUUUAUUGCAUAUGCUUACUGCCUAUUGCAAGGAAUGGUGGAUGACUUAAGGUCUAUUAAAACUAAAGAUAAAGAUGAACAAGUGCUGGCAGAACAAAUUGCACUGGCGUUUUCUGAAUUCAAAUUUUUGUUAUUCCCGUACAUUGCGAUUUAUAUUAAGAACUGCAUGGAGAAGGACAAGGAGCGAGGCUGUGCGUAUGCUCAACUCUUUGGAAUUAUCGUAUUGGCUUAUGACGUGUUAUCUUAUUUUAAUGUACUCAAUAUACAAAACAUAUUGCAAUAACUGCUAGUGCAAAUAUUUCAACUUGCGCUUUAUACGUAGUACUUUACGUAUUUAUACAUUCUUCUUUGGCGGUGAAAUGGUUUACACUUAAUGUCUAGUGCAAAGUAAAAAUCGUUAAGAAUAAUUGGUGACAAGCCUAAUUAGAUGUUUUACCAUUUGCUUAAAACGUACAACCAGCAUGAAGAAAAUCAUUGCACGACGAAAAAAAUUUCUACAUAUUUGCGCACUACUUCUAAAAUUCCCAACGAGAAGUUAAAAUUACUGCUGAUAAGAUGUCUGGGUGAAAGUAUGGUACAACAAUGUGAGCCGCAUAAUAAAAACAUUAACAUUGUGUUGACGAAAACACCCUAAGUACCAAGAAUAUGUUGUAGUGGAAAUAUGGUACUAUCAUGUGGUUCAAAAUAAGAACAUUAAUGUUGUGUUGACGAAAACACCCGAAGUACCAAGUAUAUGAUGUGGUGAAAAUAUGAUACACUCAUGUGAGCCAAAAUUAGAAUAUUAACAUUAUGUUGAUGAAAAAACCCGAAGUAGUAAGAAUGUGAGGUGGGAGAAAUAUGGUGCCAUCAUGUGAGCCAAAAUAAGAACAUUAACAUUGUGUUAACCGGUAAACCUUGAGGAUUAAGAAUAUAGCAUAAUAAAAGCUUGAUACCAUUCAGCCUUAUCUAUGAGCAAGUCUAUGAUAAUUUAUUAAACAGUUGCAAAACAUUACUUCAUUUAUUGUAAGCUGAAACCGAUGUUAAAAUUCUGUAAAAUACCUUUAAUAAGUCUGUUAUACAAUCAAACAGCAAUGUAACCAAAAUUAUGGUGUUUUUUCAGUUUUGAUGUUUUUUUUUGAAAACCAAAAUAGCAAAACGUAAAUCUUUUUUACAUUAAAUUAAAUUAAGAACAUCAACAAUAGGUAAAGCGAUUUGCAAUACACAGGAAGGAUUUACGAUAUUAUGACUAUGGUAAUAUAUACAUAAACAUAACAUAUCGGAAAAUGCGUGUACAAUAGUAAUUGUUCAAAUAAGAAUCUAUGAAACAUUGAUAAACAUUUUUAAAUAGUUAAACACACCCAACUUGUGAAGAAGAUAAUUAAAAGGAAACAUGCUGUAUGCUGUAUUUCACGUCUGCUCGUGAUUAUAGACUCAUAUAUUUGCAUAUUGGGAUAUUUAGAAUUGCUAGGAUAACUUAAAUAUUAAUAAUAUUGCCUAUCACUGCAUAUAACGGUCAGAUAUCGGUUCAUGGAUAUCAGGGCUAUUAGUAAUGAGUGGCGAGUCCUUCAAAAAUUGGAGAAUGAAGUUUUUCACUCGUAAUAAUUUAGACACAUACAUUAAGUGCAUGAUGUACAACUAUACCAUGCCACAGUAGUUUCCGAACUAUAAAACCUAUUGAAACUAAUAUUAAUUUGGUUACUUAAGAAGCGUUGGUAAAGCGCAAAUAUUUACGUGAAUUCGAUGACAGAUGUCUGGGUGUCAAAUAUAAUCAUAAUAAAUUACUGUACGUUUACGUAUGUUUAUGGUAAUGUAGCGUAUAUAGCAUAUAAAUGUAUCAAAAUUUUAAGUUAUAUUAUAUUUUU